AUUGAACGCUGGCGGCAUGCUUUACACAUGCAAGUCGAACGGUAACAAGUCUUCGGAUGCUGACGAGUGGCGAACGGGUGAGUAAUGCAUCGGAACGUGCCCAGUCGUGGGGGAUAACGCAGCGAAAGCUGCGCUAAUACCGCAUACGAUCUAUGGAUGAAAGCGGGGGACCGUAAGGCCUCGCGCGAUUGGAGCGGCCGAUGUCAGAUUAGGUAGUUGGUGGGGUAAAGGCCCACCAAGCCAACGAUCUGUAGCUGGUCUGAGAGGACGACCAGCCACACUGGGACUGAGACACGGCCCAGACUCCUACGGGAGGCAGCAGUGGGGAAUUUUGGACAAUGGGCGCAAGCCUGAUCCAGCAAUGCCGCGUGCAGGAAGAAGGCCUUCGGGUUGUAAACUGCUUUUGUACGGAACGAAACGGCUCUUCCUAAUACAGAGGGCUAAUGACGGUACCGUAAGAAUAAGCACCGGCUAACUACGUGCCAGCAGCCGCGGUAA
rnacentral:rRNA from 1 species